rnacentral:rRNA from 1 species
ACGCUCGACACCUACGGGAGGUAGCAGUGGGGGAUAUUGCACAAUGGGGGAAACCCUGAUGCAGCGACGCCGCGUGAAGGAAGAAGGCCUUCGGUUGUAAACUUCUGUCGUACGGGACGAUAAUGACGGUACCGUACAAGAAAGCCACGGCUAACUACGUGCCAGCAGCCGCGGUAAUCUGAGCGGGCUGGCAAGGC